rnacentral:rRNA from 1 species
AUUGAACGCUGGCGGCAGGCUUAACACAUGCAAGUCGAGCGGGGUGAUGGUGCUUGCACUAUCACUUAGCGGCGGACGGGUGAGUAAUGCUUAGGAAUCUGCCUAUUAGUGGGGGACAACAUCUCGAAAGGGAUGCUAAUACCGCAUACGUCCUACGGGAGAAAGCAGGGGAUCGCUUGUGACCUUGCGCUAAUAGAUGAGCCUAAGUCGGAUUAGCUAGUUGGUGUGGUAAAGGCCUACCAAGGCGACGAUCUGUAGCGGGUCUGAGAGGAUGAUCCGCCACACUGGGACUGAGACACGACCCAGACUCCUACGGGAGGCAGCAGUGGGGAAUAUUGGACAAGGGGGGGAACCCUGAUCCAGCCAUGCCGCGUGUGUGAAGAAGGCCUUAUGGUUGUAAAGCACUUUAAGCGAGGAGGAGGCUCUUUUGGUUAAUACCCAAGAUGAGUGGACGUUACUCGCAGAAUAAGCACCGGCUAACUCUGUGCCAGCAGCCGCCGUAA